UACGAAGGGGGCUAGCGUUGUUCGGAAUCACUGGGCGUAAAGCGCACGCAGGCGGAUCGUUAAGUCAGGGGUGAAAUCCUGGAGCUCAACUCCAGAACUGCCUUUGAUACUGAGAAGCUUGAGUCCGGGAGAGGUGAGUGGAACUGCGAGUGUAGAGGUGAAAUUCGUAGAUAUUCGCAAGAACACCAGUGGCGAAGGCGGCUCACUGGCCCGGUACUGACGCUGAGGUGCGAAAGCGUGGGGAGCAAACAGG
rnacentral:rRNA from 1 species